GGAUUGCGGCAGCUACACAUGCAGUCGAGCGGAACGAGUUAACUGAACCUUCGGGGAACGUUAACGGCGUCGAGCGGCGGACGGGUGAGUAAUGCCUGGGAAAUUGCCCUGAUGUGGGGGAUAACCAUUGGAAACGAUGGCUAAUACCGCAUAAUAGCUUCGGCUCAAAGAGGGGGACCUUCGGGCCUCUCGCGUCAGGAUAUGCCCAGGUGGGAUUAGCUAGUUGGUGAGGUAAUGGCUCACCAAGGCGACGAUCCCUAGCUGGUCUGAGAGGAUGAUCAGCCACACUGGAACUGAGACACGGUCCAGACUCCUACGGGAGGCAGCAGUGGGGAAUAUUGCACAAUGGGCGCAAGCCUGAUGCAGCCAUGCCGCGUGUAUGAAGAAGGCCUUCGGGUUGUAAAGUACUUUCAGCAGUGAGGAAGGUGGUGUCGUUAAUAGCGGCAUCAUUUGACGUUAGCUGCAGAAGAAGCACCGGCUAACUCCGUGCCAGCAGCCGCGGUAAUACGGAGGGUGCGAGCGUUAAUCGGAAUUACUGGGCGUAAAGCGCAUGCAGGUGGUUUGUUAAGUCAGAUGUGAAAGCCCGGGGCUCAACCUCGGAAUUGCAUUUGAAACUGGCAGACUAGAGUACUGUAGAGGGGGGUAGAAUUUCAGGUGUAGCGGUGAAAUGCGUAGAGAUCUGAAGGAAUACCGGUGGCGAAGGCGGCCCCCUGGACAGAUACUGACACUCAGAUGCGAAAGCGUGGGGAGCAAACAGGAUUAGAUACCCUGGUAGUCCACGCCGUAAACGAUGUCUACUUGGAGGUUGUGGCCUUGAGCCGUGGCUUUCGGAGCUAACGCGUUAAGUAGACCGCCUGGGGAGUACGGUCGCAAGAUUAAAACUCAAAUGAAUUGACGGGGGCCCGCACAAGCGGUGGAGCAUGUGGUUUAAUUCGAUGCAACGCGAAGAACCUUACCUACUCUUGACAUCCUCAGAAGAUGUACUGGAGAUAGAC
rnacentral:rRNA from 2 species